rnacentral:tRNA from 1 species
UGCCCAAUGCGGGAAUCGAACCCGGGUCGUAGUGGUCGAAAACCAACGGUUUAGACCAUCCUUCCACGACCCACUUCUGAUUGGCC